UUUCUUGUAGGCACAUAAUAUUUAUCCUUCUCCUCACCAUAACUUCCACUACUUCCAUAGAUUUUCCCGUUAAGGUUCCUAUAUUCCACGUUCCUAAAUGCAUUUUGCUCUCUUGAACUCUACCCUUCUGUCCUAGCUUCUUCACCCUCCCCCGUCUAAUAGGAUCAAAGUACUUCUUUUGUGUGUCCCGGGUAAAGUUGAUAGGAGCAUAUGCUCCCAAACAACUUUGAAUGGAGUCGUUCGAAAAGAAGUUUCUAUGGCCCCCUUGCUCAUUUAACACUGCAUCGGGUGCCGAUGGAGAUACAGCGACCCUUGCUCACUUAUCACUGUGCUCGGGCCACACAGCGCGCCACUUACGGGUGACGCCCUAGCUUUAGCGCGAUUUUGUUAUGGAUUCAUUUUCAUAAGGAUUCGACGUGAUCAUGGAGUGCCGGCUGUCGACUACCUGACGCCCUCCCCCUCCUCCUUUAUCCGGGCUUGGGACCGGCCAUGUAAGACAUAGGCGGAGUUAAAACAAGCCACAAAACAAGGAAACAUAAUCCUCAUCAUGAUGUUCCCUCAUCAAUUUUCUUUCAUUCUUUUGUUUUGUUUCCUAGCCUAAUUUGGCCACUAUCCAACAAUCUCCACCUUGGCCAAAUUCUGAAAACAUCACAGAGAAUCAAAUCAACAAUCACCAUAAUCACCCAAAGUACAAACUAAAGACAACGGGAACUAAAUCAAAUUCCCCAAACUUUCCGGUACUCAAAAUGAUCUCCACCUCGACUCAAAAUGUACCAAAGACAACAAAAGUAGACCAUUUCUCUACCGUCUUCUCCAAAUUUGCAAACCAUAAGUGCCUUGAUCAAAACAAAAGGUGAUUCAAACGAAGAACUGAAAUUAUUCAAUAUCACCAACAAAAGAUCAAGUACACCAUACCAAAGUUAGACACACAAUGAACUCCACCUGCUCACAAACACCAUGGUCUUAAACUGCACCAAUAGACUCAUUCACAUAGCAUGGCACAUUCUCCAAGUCAAAACUGAUUACAAAUUUGGCAACAAAGUCUCACAUACCACAUACGAAAAUAUGCCCUUCACUCAAGUUUACCAUCAUCACAUGAGCACCAACAGGACAACCAAAAUUUCAAAUUCAAAAAAUCAGCAGGAGAUCCAAAACCAUACCUCAACUGGAGUCUUCAAGAAAACUAAUUGCAGAUGAUGGAGACCAACAGACCAAAUAGCAGUGGCAAACAAAUCCAACCAAAUGUCCAUAGCCCAAACAAAGUUAGAAAGCAUAUAACUUGCCUUCUACACGAGGGUUCCACACAAAUGUUCUGCAGUGCAUGUGGUGUAUCCAAAAUAGUGUGGUGCCUCACUAUCCAAACUUGCAGAACUCAACAAAUUGGCCCUCACUGAAUUCAACUUUACCAAAAAAAGAAAAACCAUACCAAUAUCCAAAACAAUAAAAACACCGAUGAAGAGCAACUAACAUAACACAAACAUACAUAGAGGCUACUAAGCAACUUUCUCAAAUCAUAACAAAGAAUCUUUACAAACUCUUAAAUCUCCAUAUGUAGCGGAGAGAUUUAAGAGUACCCACAACACCAGAUUCCUUUUUUUUUUUUUUUUUUUUAAUUUCAAAUCUGGUGUAGCCAACUGUCAUCAUAGAACAAAGUCGAAGUCGUCAUCGACAACAUUCGCACUCGCACCAGCAUUAUCUUUCAGUUUUGGACAAUCAACUUUCCAAUGCCCUUCCUUGCGACAAUAGUUGCAUGUGUUGUUUCUGGUCUUAGACUUCGAUCUCAAAUUUCCUUUAUUACUCCCUGAACCAUAUUCCCUAUCUCUGCCUCUUGCUAUCAAAGCCUCAAAAUGAGAAUCAUUCAAAUUUCCAAAUACUUUGUUCUUUAACUCUCUUGAAUUCAAAGCGGCUUUUAC
rnacentral:lncRNA from 1 species